UUGGUGCCUUUUCCUCUUCCACUACUCCAGACACGCCUUCUUCCAAAGAAGAUUUAGAAGUUCCAAACAUAUACCAGACUCUUCCUUUUCCAAUUCUGUUUUGCCUCUCUUUCUAAUUCGUUUUCCCUAAUUUGGUUUGCAGCUCCAAAAUCCCCAUUGUUACUCACUCAAGUCUUCGUCUCUGUUGAAUCUUCAAACUUUUGGCUGUGAGAAUUCUUGCAAAAAGUCCACAUUUGCUAGAAAUCUAAGGCACCUUCAAUUUGAGGCUGAUAUAAAUCCGCUCUUUCUUUACACCAGUCCCCGCAACAACCUACAAGUGUGGAAUGUGGGUUUUAUGUAAUGCGGUGUAUGAAAGACCUCAUUAAUGAUCAAAGCAUCCCAAGAAAACAAAAUUUCAAUGGAAAAAAGACAUACACAGAAGCCGAACUUGAUGAAGUG